rnacentral:lncRNA from 1 species
GGGAUUGUUGUUGUCCUUCGAAUUCUAAAUUAAAAUAAUCAGCGCCAGUUUUCCUAAGAGUUAUUUCUCAAGGAAUUUCCAUGAGUGAAAUCCGAGUUUAAAAAUAACUCACCGAAUCAGACAAAAGAGACUAAAGGAGAAGCUUCAUAUCUCUAGACACAUGGGAAAACCAACACAUUCAAGAGAGCAAGUCAACUGAACAUGCUUGCAAAGUAAGAGGCUAAGUUUGAGAGGGGGGUGUGUGUGUGUGUGUGUGUGUGUGUGUGUGUGUGUGUGUAGAACAGGAGGAAACUGAAGUUCAUAUUUUGAGAGCAAUGCUGAUUCCUGCUGAUAGCUAAAGAAAUAGGUCACUUGAUCCUACCGGGUCCCAAUACUGCGAGCUAAAAAAAUAAUAUUUAGGGUUUCUUCCAGAUCUGACGUUACCAGGGGCAUUAACUUAUUUUAAUGUGAUUGUGUCCCCAUUACUCGCUGCACUCGUGUCUGCCCAGGAUUCAGGGAUAAAUAACUAGCGGGUCAUUGGCCUUCAGGCAAUUUCACUCCAGGGAGGAAGAGCCUACUUACAAGUUCUCUUCUCAAAUCGCAGGUGGAUUGUGGUUGGUUGUAUUCCAGAUGCACCAACCAGGAAAGGAGCCAGCCAGGAUGAGCAGACAGGGGUUAGACGUUUUUGUCAACAAUUAUGUUCUUUAUUAAGCUGUUGAUUCUAAAAUUUGUACAGAAAAUUUACACAUGAGGGACAAUGAGAGGCUGAAGACAGGAAGGUAAGAUCUUCUGUGACUGUUCCUACUACCUCUAUAAAGAAGAUGCCAGUGUCACCUGCUAAGGAGAAAGGACUUUUCUUUUUUC